CGAAAUUAAAUAAAAAAUAAAAAAGAAUGGGACUACAUCGAAAACAGCCUCAAAAGUGGAGGGACUGAGUGCGCAAAUAGACCCUCAAUCCAAAAACACGCGGAUCCUAGACGGUUUUCAGGUCGGAGUCCGGGUCAGGUGAUUAAACGACGCCGUUUUGGGUAUUGAAUGUUUGCCCCAAAACGAUGCCGUACCAAAGGGUUAUAAAAAUAAUUUUUUUUGUGAAAUUAUCAUUUAGUUAGUGCAGAGGAAAAAAAAGAAAGAGAGAGGUGAAUCUCUCCGGCCUAGGCGAUUUUCGGUUGCCGGAUUGGUGCCCGUCCAUUGCCGGUGUCUGCCGUGCACGGCAGCUGGAGGUGCAAA
rnacentral:lncRNA from 1 species